AUGGUGAAAGUUCUGAAGCGACGACAGAAGCCCGCAGAAGACAGCGAGCUGGAGGGUGACAGGCCCACUCUCAGCCCGUCACUCUGCCCUGAGGAGAGGGCAAGCACACUUUGGCUCAGCUCUGGAGUGGGGAAGGUGUCACUGCACCCAGCUUGCCAGAAACCCCUUCGGGUGUCCAAGCUGAAGUUCCUUUCCUUUCAGGUCACCGAGUUCAACGCCCUCACUUUACAGAAAGGGAAACUGAGGCCCCGAGAGAGAAGGGUGCUUGCCAUUGGCUAUGCUGGCAAAUGGCACGAGCCAGCAUUCAAACCCAGGCAGGCUCCCAACCCUGUGCCAUCUGGUCACAGCUCCCAAAUUUCUACAGGACAUCCAGCCCUCCCACUCCGGCUCAGCUACCUCCCUGUUAUCCGUUCCCCCCCGCCCCGACCCCGUGUGGCUUUUCCCACCGGGGAGGGGGUGACCGAUGGCAGGUACCAGGCACACACAAUGUGAAAGUCUGAGUGUGGGGGUGACAUUUCCUGACCUUGUCCUGGGUCUCAGGGUCACCCUGUCUUGGAGGACUCCAGCUUUUCGCAGUGUGUGAUAAGGGUACGUGGAGGGCUCCCUGGAUGUCCUGGAGGGGGCUUCUCUGUAGAUAGUGGUCUGGGUGUGUGAAUGGGUGGGGAGGGGCAGCGUUUGGAAGGCAUCUGUUGGAUCCACGUGUGUGCCCACAUGCCAAGGUUCCCCACACACUUCUUCAUACACACACACACACACACACACACACACACAUUUCCCUCCAGGGCCCUUCAGGAUGCCCUGCCUGACUCAGUUCCUCUCCAGGGGCACAGAGGGACAGAGAGAUGCAGAAAUGAAGGAUGGUGAUGGGGAAGCCCAGGAUGGAGGAUGUGACAGUAGAUAGGGGAGGCGAAGGGACAGGGGCCAGGGACACAGGGGGACAGACAGACAGGAGAGAGUGGGGAAUGGGGGGAGACAGAUGACAGGGAGGGCUAGAGAACCGGGAAUGGCAGAAGAGAAAGGACAAGGGAACGGGGCAGAUGGGGGACAGAGAAGCAGAGGUGACAGAGACGAGGCAGAAAUACAGGCGCACAGAGGAGGGAAUGGAAAGGCUGCUGGGGGGCGGGCAGAGUGGCCCAGUGAAAAGGGACAGAGACCAAGGGACAGAGGUGGGGGACAA
rnacentral:lncRNA from 1 species